rnacentral:misc_RNA from 1 species
AGAGGACUGCGAUGAUGAUGAAAUGGAGCAUCUUAGAUCGUUUUCAUCCGGCGUUUUCCUUUCCACCGAAACAAAAACCUCGGAGUUAUUCGAGUCUGUAACUUCCUGUACAUCGUCUUUGUCGUCGUCGUCUUCGUCGGUGUAUACUUUCAGCUCUUCCUCCACGGAAGAAGAAAGUCAGCGGAAUUCACACGUGGAGUCGAAGCUUUGUAAUUCUAGAAUGCAGAAGACUAUUAGAAGCAAGGUAUUGUUUCCGGCAGUCAACCGCUUCGUCAAUACGUUCACUUCCAGUUUCAGGGAAUCGUCGGAGAUUGACCUAGGAGAUGGCCGUUUGCCAGACGCCAACCAGUUGGACCUCGCAGCCAGCAGCACAAGCAAACCAUCAAAGAUAACAACUACAAUAACAAUAAACAAUGGCGCCAUGUUGAACUUCUUUACAAUAUUUCGAGCGCUGAAAGUCAGAACAUUACUCGCAUCAUUUCUCAAGGCCUCCCAGGCAAAGUCUACGAAUGACAAGGGAAAAAUACGAGAAAAGACGAUGAUCUGGAGCUCUAACCAGAGCCUAACCAAGCCAAUAAUGGACAAGGGUUCAAAGGAAACGAAGCAAGGAAAGAGAUCAAGAGUGUUAGAACUGAACUUGGACUCCAUUAGAAGGGUCUUGGAAGCCAUGAAUAUUAGAAACAUUGGUCGCAGAGAAAGAAGAACAAAAAGCUGCCCUGGUUCAACUAAGUCCUCUCCAAUUCACCAGCGAUUUCCCGCUCAAAAUUAUACAAGUUCAUCAGCUGCCACUAAUAACAAUAUUCAGGCAGCUAUUGCUCAUUGUAAGAGAUCAUUCGGCCCAGAUGUUUAAUGUUUUAUUUUUUUAGCUUCUCUAUUAUAUAUAAUUUCCAUUACAAAUGCUCUCAAUAAAUUAAAAUCCAUUACAAUGAGAGUUUUGACAUGCUUUGUGUUCUGCCCUCCCAAUUAAUUGCCCUGAAUUCUC